GGCGCGGUAGCAAAGCGGUUAUGCCCCGGAUUGCAAAUCCGGUUAGACCAGUUCGACUCUGGUCCGCGCCU
rnacentral:tRNA from 1 species